CUGGUUGAUCCUGCCAGAGGUCACUGCUAUCGGGGUUCGAUUAAGCCAUGCGAGUCGAGAGGGUUCAGACCCUCGGCGGACUGCUCAGUAACACGUGGAUAACCUGCCCUAAGGUGGAGCAUAACCCCGGGAAACUGGGGAUAAUACUCCAUAGGUUAGAGAUACUGGAAAGUUCUUUAAUCAAAAGUUCCGGCGCCUUAGGAUGGAUCUGCGGCCGAUUAGGUAGUUGUUGGGGUAACGGCCCAACAAGCCUGUAAUCGGUACGGGUUGUGGGAGCAAGAGCCCGGAGAUGGAAUCUGAGACACGAUUCCAGGCCCUACGGGGCGCAGCAGGCGCGAAAACUUUACAAUGCAGGAAACUGUGAUAAGGGAACCCCGAGUGCCCGUAUACGCGGGCUGUCCGGGUGUAUAAAAAGCAUCUGAAGAAAGGGCCGGGCAAGACCGGUGCCAGCCGCCGCGGUAAUACCGGCGGCUCGAGUGGUGACCACUUUUAUUGGGCUUAAAGCGUUCGUAGCUGGACUCUUAAGUCUCUUGGGAAAUCCCGCGGCUCAACCGUGGGGCGUUUAAGAGAUACUGGGAGUCUAGGAACCGGGAGAGGUAAGAGGUACUUCGGGGGUAGAAGUGAAAUUCUGUAAUCCUCGAGGGACCACCGAUGGCGAAGGCAUCUUACCAGAACGGCUUCGACAGUGAGGAACGAAAGCUGGGGGAGCGAACGGGAUUAGAUACCCCGGUAGUCCCAGCCGUAAACGAUGCGCGUUAGGUGUACUGGUGACCACGAGUCACUGGGGUGCCGAAGGGAAACCGUGAAACGUGCCGCCUGGGAAGUACGGUCGCAAGGCUGAAACUUAAAGGAAUUGGCGGGGGAGCACCAC
rnacentral:rRNA from 1 species